rnacentral:lncRNA from 1 species
ACGGUCUGUAACCAUGGUCCUUCCGUACGCGCGCGACACUGGAUCCACGUCUAUUAAUUGUUUAAGAAGGUGGGGCGCGUGUUGUUAUUUUUUUUUUUAUAUAAAAUUACAGAAAUGCCCUUGUUGCUCUAUUCUUUCAAAAAUUAAAAGAAUGGGUAUUUUGGUCCAACUCAAAAGGUGCACCUUGCUAACUUAGACCUAACUA